GAUGAACGCUAGCGGCAGGCCUAAUACAUGCAAGCCGAACGGCAAGUUUGAUAGCAAUAUUUGACCUAGAGUGGCGCAAGGGUGCGUAACACGUAUGCAACCUGCCCGCGACAGGAGGAUAGCUCCCCGAAAGGGGAAUUAACCCUCCAUAACACCAUGAGAAGGCAUCUGAUUAUGGUUAAACCGCAAGGGGUCGCGGAUGGGCAUGCGGUUAAGUAGGUAGUUGUCGGGGUAAAGGCCCACCAAGGCGGUGACCAAUAGUGGUUCUGAGAGGAAGGUCCCCCAAACUGACACUGAGUCACGGGCCAGACUCGUGCGGGAGGCAGGAGUAGGGAGUAUUGGACAAUGGUUGCAAGACUGAUCCAGCCAGGCGGCGUGCAGGAAGAUGGCGUUCUGGAUCGUAAACUGCUUUUACCUGUGGAUAAAAUACCCGUGCGCGCUGAAUUGACGGUAACAGGAGAAUAAGCAACGGCUAACUACGUG
rnacentral:rRNA from 1 species